rnacentral:misc_RNA from 1 species
AGAAUUUGAGAUGCAGAAAAUGAAGAAAUCUGAAACUAUUAAAGCGUAUUCAGAUAGACUUUUCAAUAUCGUAAACAAGGUACGAUUAUUUGGUACUGAAUUUGCUGAUACAAGAAUAGUUCAAAAAAUUCUUGUUACUGUCUCUGAGAGAUUUGAAGCUACCAUCUCUUCUUUGGAAAAUACUAAGGAUCUAUCAAAGAUUGGCUUGGCAGAAUAGAUACAUGCUUUGCAGGCUCAAGAACAGAGAAGGCUCAUGAGAAGUGAAGGUUCUGUUGAAGGAGCAUUGGCUGCAAAGGUGCAAACUAAUCAAGGAGGGAAAGGGAAGUAUAAAGGAAACAAGAAGGAAGGUUUAGAUUCAUCAAAGUCUGACUUUCCUCCUUGUAAGCACUGCAACAAAAAGGGUCAUCCACCAUCAAAAUGCUGGAGGAGACCUGAUGUGAAAUGUGAGAAGUGCCAGAAAAUGGGACAUCAUGAGAAAAUAUGCAAGAGCAACAUUCAGAAGGUUGUAGCUCAAGUUGAUCUUCAGCAGAAAAAUGUUGUUCAAGUAGCUGAUCAUGAAGAGGAGCAACUAUUCGUAGCUACCUGUCUUGUAGCAAGUCAUUCAAGUGACAAGUGGCUCAUUGACAGUGGUUGCACCAACCACAUGACAUUUGACAGGGAUCUAUUCAAGGAGCUGGAUACGUCAUUCAUUUCCAAAGUGAAGAUUGGCAAUGGAGAAUGUAUCGCAGUGAAAGGGAAAGGCACAAUUGCAGUGGAAACUUCAAAAGGUACAAAGCUUAUCCGAGAAGUGUUAUUUGUACCUAACAUUAACCAAAAUUUGCUGAGUGUUGGCCAGCUUCUUGAAAAUGGUUUUAAAGUGGUUUUUAAGGGUAAUCAUUGCUUAAUCAAAAACUCAAAAGAUGAAGAUAUGUUCAAAGUGAGCAUGAAAGGGAAGAGUUUUGCACUAGAUCCUCUACAGGCAAAGCAAUCAGUCUACUCUGCAACAACAGUGAAUGCAGAAGUGUGGCAUAGAAAGCUGGGUCAUUUUCAUCAUAAAGCAGUGGUGAAUAUGCAAAAGAAUGAACUUGUUCAAGGUUUGCCUAAUCUUGAAGUUGAACUGCCAGAAUGCAAGGCUUGCCAAUAUGGAAAGCAAUCAAGGCUUCCUUUCAAGAAAGCUACCUGGAGAGCAUCAGAAAAGCUUCAGUUGAUUCAUACUGAUGUGGCUGGUCCAUAGAACUCCUUCACUUAAUGGGAGUAAGUAUUAUCUGCUUUUCAUUGAUGAUUAUAGCAGAAUGUGCUGGAUAUAUUUUCUCAGGUUCAAAUCAGAAGUGGCUGGUGUGUUUUGGAAAUUCAAGAACUGGAUUGAAACACAAAGUGGCUGUAAAAUUUAGACGUUGAGGUCUGAUAAUGGGAAGGAGUACACAUCUGAAACUUUCAAUGAGUUCUGUGAAGAGGCUAGAAUUGAACACCAACUCACUGCUCCAUAUACUCCUCAACAAAAUGGAG